rnacentral:rRNA from 1 species
AUGCAAGAUCAGGUCGGCCUGGACCUGGACGGCUUCCCACUCGACCACGAGUUUCCAGAGAACUACGAACUCGAGGAAGAUGAUGAGUUGGACAUCGACGAUGAGCCUUUGUUCGAGGACGAGGUCGCCAACCAAGCCGCCGGGGCGAAGCCGAAGCGCAAGAGCAGGCGGACGAAGGGAUACACGGCGGCCAAUGACAAGCUCCUUUGUGAGUGUCGGAGGGACAUUGGGCAAGACCCCAAGACCGGCGCCGAACAAAAGGCAUCAACCUUUUGGACUUGUGUUCAUCGUGAGUUCCAUGAACGCAAGAAGUUUCCGCCAUACCAAAUCCAAAGCACGCGCGGGUGGGUGUCCAUCUCGAAG